ACUAUAUAGGAUGAAAACGCAUUUCUACAUAAACCACGGAUCGUUUGCCGGUUCCAUUAUUUACAGACUAUAGAUACACGGCACAUAAUAUUAUUAUAUUCGUAGUGUUAUUAUUGCAAUAUUAUUUGUACCAUUAGCUUUGGAAAAUUAGCUUAUUCGUCACUUCAAUAAUUAUAAUAUACUGACUAUUAAAAUGAGCGAUAAAAAUAUCUCUGGUGCAGCUUCGUAUGAACAACUCGAUAGCACCCGAUUGAAAAGUGUCCAUAGCAAAUUAGCCGUCGCGGAAGAAGACGCUUAUUACAACGAAGCUUCGAUCAAUAAUUAUGGCUACGAGAUUGAUACCGAAGAAGGGUACCCGUAUCCCGAGGAAUGCGAAGAAGGAUUUAAAUUCUGCAAAAGUAAAAAGAAACCAUAUGUCCAACGAUCGAGAUCUAUUUUGGAAGAGGACGCAUUUCCCGAAAUCGUGUUAACCGCUGCCGAAGCCAGAAAAUGUCUGAAUCGCAUCGGCCAAGUAGGAUCGGGAUUAAUUUACGCCUUUGUUCAAAUCGAUAUCGACCAUAGGAGUCUUACAAACAUCGAGGAAAUCAUAAACUUUAAGUAUUUAUCUUUUAUAAACGUGUCGCACAACAACUUGAGCUUGGACGCUUUGGACGUGCUCAGAGAGUUGGAAUACGUGGUCGUGGUACGGGCCGAUCACAAUAACGUCGAUUCCCUUUGUCUGUCUCCAAUGCCGUAUCUACAGGUUUUGACCCUAAACUCUAACAGAGUCUCGUCGCUUUCGGGUCUUAAGCAACCAUCGCUAGAGUGUUUGGAACUGAACGACAACAACAUUUCGUCUCUGUUCCAAGUAUCAAGCCGAAAGUAUAAUAAAAACUAUUGCAAUGAAGAAAUUGCUUGUCCAAACCUUUCCACAUUGGCAUUGUCCAGAAAUGCUUUGGAUACAGUCGAAGAAUUUGUGAUUUUAUCCAAUCAAUUACGCAUAUUAUAUUUGAGCUACAACAAAAUUACCAAGUUAAAUGGAUUAGGUGAUUUGCAAAAUUUAUCUCGCUUACACUUGCGAGGAAAUCAAAUAUCGGACUUGGAUGGUUUUACUGAUAAUUUGAAGUAUUUGUCGUACUUAAACUUGAGAUGAAAGUAGUCAAUGAUACUGUGUCAAAGUGAUGAGCGAUUCAAGACGAUUGCCAAAAUCCAAUCCCUGUACAUAUACAUAAAAAUAUUAUAAGACAGGCAAAAUCUUGGUUGAGAAUAUUCAAAACACAUCGGGAGCUGGCAGACACCAACUAUAUCUACUUAUAUUAUAAUUAAUUUAAAAACACCAUGUGGCUUUAUUAUUUUAUAUUUAAGAUUUCCUACGGACGAAUUUUACUCUCCUGGGAAUACAUAUUUUAUCUUCCAAAUAAUAUGUGUGUGUAUACUUUUAUUCGUGGAAUCUAGACUUGGAUAUUCCUCACACGUUUUUCGUAAUAUGUCAUCAUACGGCGUAGAAGGUAACUGCUUGUAGGUAGGUACAUUGUUAUAUAUUGCUAUUUGUCAGUAAAACUAUUUACUUGAAAACUAAAGUGUACACAGUGAAGUAUGUUUGUGAAAUUAACAAGGUUACGUUUUCAUACCAAGACGUUUAUUGAUCAUUGAUCGUUAUUAUUAUUAAAAGUCUCAAUAAAAAAAUAAUAAAAUAUAAUAAUAUAGUUGAUAAUAUUUGUGUAUUGUGCAGUGUUAAAUCAGUAUAGAGGUUGAAUUAUCAUGUCAAGUAAGUAUUUAUGUAUAAAAAUAUGUAACGAGUUGAAUUAGAAAAAAAAAAAAUAAUA